rnacentral:rRNA from 1 species
GCAUAUCAAUAAGCGGAGGAAAAAGAAACCAACAGGGAUUGCCCUAGUAACGGCGAGUGAAGCGGCAACAGCUCAAAUUUGAAAUCUGGCGCAAGCCCGAGUUGUAAUUUGUAGAGGAUGCUUCUGGGUAGCGACCGAUCUAAGUUCCUUGGAACAGGACGUCAUAGAGGGUGAGAAUCCCCGUAUGUGACCGGCCCGCACCCUUUACGUAGCUCCUUCGACGAGUCGAGUUGUUUGGGAAUGCAGCUCUAAAUGGGAGGUAAAUUUCUUCUAAAGCUAAAUACCGGCCAGAGACCGAUAGCGCACAAGUAGAGUGAUCGAAAGAUGAAAAGUACUUUGGAAAGAGAGUUAAAAAGCACGUGAAAUUGUUGAAAGGGAAGCGCCUGCAACCAGACUUCGCGGCAGUGUUCCGCCGGUCUUCUGACCGGUUUAUUCUCUGUCGCGAGGCCAUCAUCGUCUGGGCCCGCCGGAUAAGACCUGAGGAAUGUGGCUCCCCCUCGGGGGAGUGUUAUAGCCUCUGGUGAUGCGGCGUGGCUCGGGCGAGGUCCGCGCUUCGGCAAGGAUGAUGGCGUAAUGGUUGUCGGCGGCCCGUCUUGAAACACGGACCAAGGAGUCUAACAUCUAUGCGAGUGUUCGGGUGUCAAACCCCUACGCGUAAUGAAAGUGAACGGAGGUGGGAACCGCAAGGUGCACCAUCGACCGAUCCUGAUGUCCUCGGAUGGAUUUGAGUAAGAGCAUAGCUGUUGGGACCCGAAAGAUGGUGAACUAUGCCUGAAUAGGGGUGAAGCCAGAGGAAACUCUGGUGGAGGCUCGCAGCGGUUCUGACGUGCAAAUCGAUCGUCAAAUUUGGGGUAUAGGGGGCGAAAGACUAAUCGAAACCAUCUAGUAGCUGGGUUCUGCGA